UGUCAAAUCAGCAUGCCCCUUAUGUCUUGGGCUACACACGUGCUACAAUGGCUUAUACAAAGAGAUGCGAGACAGCGAUGUGGAGCAAACCUCAAAAAGUAAGUCACAGUUCGGAUUGUAGUCUGCAACUCGACUACAUGAAGCUGGAAUCGCUAGUAAUCGCAGAUCAUCAUGCUGCGGUGAAUACGUUCCCGGGCCUU
rnacentral:rRNA from 1 species